rnacentral:rRNA from 1 species
GAUGAACGCUGACAGCAUGCUUAACACAUGCAAGUCGAUGGGGAAGUGGCGCUUGCACCAUGGUACUCAUGGCGGACGGGUGUGUAACGCGUAAGGAACUUACCUGCGGGACCGGGAUAACACUAGGAAACUGCUGACAAGAUCGGAUAAGGUCACUCAGCCGCCUAGCUUAGUGAUGAAAGGAGACGUCUGCGGAGAGCCUUGUGUCCUCUUAGCGAGUUGGUGGGGUAAUGGCCCACCACGGCGAAGUUAGGUAGGCGGCCUGAGGGGGUGGACGGCCACAAGGGGACUGAGAUGCGGCCGUUACUCCUGCGGGGGGCAGGAGUGGAAAAUAGUGGACAAGGGGGACAACCCUGAUCCAGCAGUUCUGUGUGCACGAAGACGGUUUUCGGAGUGUAAAGUGCUUUCAGCAGGGAAGAAGUAAGUGACGGUACCUGGAGAAGAAGCGACGGCUAAAUACGUG